rnacentral:rRNA from 1 species
AGCCCUUGACAUGUCCAGGACCGGUCGCAGAGAUGUGACCCUCUCUUCGGAGCCUGGAACACAGGUGCUGCAUGGCUGUCGUCAGCUCGUGUCGUGAGAUGUUGGGUUAAGUCCCGCAACGAGCGCAACCCCCGUCCUUAGUUGCUACCAUUUAGUUGAGCACUCUAAGGAGACUGCCGGUGAUAAGCCGCGAGGAAGGUGGGGAUGACGUCAAGUCCUCAUGGCCCUUACGGGCUGGG